CAGGCAAACCAAAUUCUGAGCUACAUGAUCAUUUUACAGCCCACUGGGUCACCUGGAAGAUCAAACUAAACGUGCACGUGGUUCGGGCGCAGACCGAUGCCGUGACGACCGCGGACGCGACUGUGUCAAGCAGCACGAUGUCCGUGAACUCCACCAACGCAACCUCGGUGUCACCGGACAACGGCUCCGGCAGCACCGCGUCCUGCACGCUGCUGCUCCCGCUGGCUCUGGCGGCUUCUCUGCUCCACGACUGGUCCUAACGAGCGGACGGCUCUAACCGGACACAUAACGGCCAACACGGGUGGACUGGGGCCGCAGCGGUAGCCUAUUCCAAGAGCAGUCCUUUAAAAUGAUCCCUUCUAAUCAAACGCGUUUGGAUUUCACCAAAGAUUAUUAUUAUUUUUUUUUUUUUUUCUGUCCUCGGUGGGGGAAAUUGUAACAGGAGCGCGCACCGAGUGCAGUCUCCAUUACGCACCAGCCUGGGACGCGCCCUGCUGCUUUACGUCGUUCUGUCCCGUUCUUUGCAAGCGCCCUUCGUGGACUGAAAAUUCCCAUUGUUCUGGGAAACACCGGUCUCUUGGCUGAGGCAGCUGGCUUCUAUGGGGGUGGGAGGAAAGACGGGUAACUUGUGCCCACUGUGCGCUCUAAAAACGAUACUUGAUACCGGAUUCGUUAGGCCUAAAGGUGAUUGUAAGCGAACUUAGAAAAAAUUUGUACCAAAAAAUGAUGGCAAUGUGAAAUGUACUUUUAGACCUUGGAUUUUGUAAGUUCAAUAAAGCUUUAAGCUGUUGGUGACCUGAUGACUUUGCCAG
ensembl:lncRNA